rnacentral:rRNA from 1 species
UACGAAGGGGGCUAGCGUUGCUCGGAAUGACUGGGCGUAAAGGGCGCGUAGGCGGCUUGCACCGUCAGAUGUGAAAUUCCUGGGCUUAACCUGGGGGCUGCAUUUGAUACGUGUGGGCUCGAGUGCGGAAGAGGGUCGUGGAAUUCCCAGUGUAGAGGUGAAAUUCGUAGAUAUUGGGAAGAACACCGGUGGCGAAGGCGGCGACCUGGUCCGUGACUGACGCUGAGGCGCGAAAGCGUGGGGAGCAAACGGG